rnacentral:lncRNA from 1 species
GGUUCGAAUCUCGUGACUACCGUUAAGGUUUGAUUUGGGUUUUACACAAAUACGUAUUCCAUUCUAUGUUUAACUACCAGAAUACUCCCAACUACACACUUACAAUCAAACAAGCUGUUAAAUCACCAGAAGAUUUAGAACAAUAAAGUAUACUCUUAAUUAUCAGAAGGAGUAGAAUCAAGAAGCUUGUUAAAUCAAUACUGCAUGCUUAUGAAGUAAUUACAGUAGAUCGGAAUAAGAGAUGGAUACGGCACCAAAAGGCUUACAGAAGUGGCUUGAUUUAUCAAUUAAAUUAAAUUAAGAAUUAC